GAUGAACGCUGGCGGCGUGCCUAAUACAUGCAAGUCGAGCGAACAGAUAAGGAGCUUGCUCCUUUGACGUUAGCGGCGGACGGGUGAGUAACACGUGGGUAACCUACCUAUAAGACUGGAAUAACUCCGGGAAACCGGGGCUAUUGCCGGAUAACAUUUAGAACCGCAUGGUUCUAAAGUGAAAGAUGGUUUUGCUAUCACUUAUAGAUGGACCCGCGCCGUAUUAGCUAGUUGGUAAGGUAACGGCUUACCAAGGCAACGAUACGUAGCCGACCUGAGAGGGUGAUCGGCCACACUGGAACUGAGACACGGUCCAGACUCCUACGGGAGGCAGCAGUAGGGAAUCUUCCGCAAUGGGCGAAAGCCUGACGGAGCAACGCCGCGUGAGUGAUGAAGGUCUUCGGAUCGUAAAACUCUGUUAUUAGGGAAGAACAAAUGUGUAAGUAACUGUGCACGUCUUGACGGUACCUAAUCAGAAAGCCACGGCUAACUACGUG
rnacentral:rRNA from 1 species